UUUCCGUAGGUGAACCUGCGGAAGGAUCAUUAAUGAGUUGUCAUGGGGUUCGAUGCUGGCAGCCAAUUUUUGGAUGCAUGUGCUUGCCCUAACAAUCAUCUUCCAAACACCUGUGCACAUUUUUGAGGGAGUCUUGAGUUGGUUGCCGCUCUUGGGUGAUUUUCUCACAUUCCCUUAAAUCAUUAUACGCUAUUAACAAUGUUGAACGUGCUCUGUGCCGCAAGGCUAUCAAUAUAAUACAACUUUUAACAACGGAUCUCUUGGCUCUC
rnacentral:misc_RNA from 1 species